rnacentral:rRNA from 1 species
ACUCCUACGGGAGGCAGCAGUAGGGAAUAUUGGGCAAUGGUCGGAAGACUGACCCAGCCAUGCCGCGUGCAGGAAGACGGCCUAUUGGGUUGUAAACUGCUUUUAUCUGGGAAGAAAAGGGCCAUGCGUGGCAAAUUGCCGGUACCAGAUGAAUAAGCACCGGCUAACUCCGUGCCAGCAGCCGCGGUAAUACGGAGGGGUGCAAGCGUUGUCCGGAUUUAUUGGGUUUAAAGGGUGCGUAGGCGGCUGAUUAAGUCAGCGGUGAAAGACUCCGGCUCAACCGGAGCAGUGCCGUUGAUACUGGUUAGCUUGAGUGCUGCAGGGGUACAUGGAAUUGAUGGUGUAGCGGUGAAAUGCAUAGAUACCAUCAGGAACACCGAUAGCGAAGGCAUUGUACUGGGCAGCAACUGACGCUGAGGCACGAAAGCGUGGGGAUCGAACAGGAUUAGAUACCCUGGUAGGAUAGCG